UCAUGUUUAACUCCAAAAGAAUACGAAAACAUACAGAAUGACACAGGAGAAUAACUGAGGUGCCGAUCACUCGCAUAAACAAAAAUGGACAAGCAUUCGCUUUGAAAUCAUGACCACUGGACUUUGAGGUCAGAAAGCUCUCGGAUUUCAUCAAAAAUGACUUAAUUUAUGCUCUGAAGAUGAACGAAGGUCUUACGGGUUUGGAAUGACAUGAGGAUCACUUGUUAAACCUGACAGGAUUAUAGUAACCUGCAGUACAAUACAAUGAUGCUGACACGUCAGAGUCGAGCCACUCCUGUGGGAUGCAUGUUUUAUGACGCAGGGUGAAUGUAAUCUGCAGAUGUACAAUUUGGGGUCCUAAUAGAGAUGGACGUUCUAAACACCAGCUCCUGUGUCAGCAGCACCACAUUCAUGUGUUCUCAGGCCAUAAUAACCAGUAGAUAUGUUGACGAGCAAAGGUCAUGCUGAAAGGUCCAUCCAUCCUGACACCCUGAUGUGACUGUGUAUAUGUAAGUUUCUCUCUCAUAAACAGUAUUUGCUAGUUGUAUCCGGCAGUACGAUGUGUCACAUCCUGUCUAUUUGCUGCUUACACAUGCCAGCCUGAUAAGACUUCUUUGUUUUCCCCUGUUCCCCAAAAUGCUUCGGAAUGGGUACAUCCUGUAUAUGAAAAACGCAGCUCCCGGUCGGAAAGCCGUGGAAAUGUGCAGAAAAGAGAAGUGGGACAAUAGGCCGGAUCUACGGCAGUUCCUAAAGCCUCGAUGUUCUGAAGCGCUGCUGUUUAUUUCACACAUUAAUCUAAUGCAAAUACCCAGGCAGGAACACAUGGAUUUGUGUGGGAGAGGAAAAUGCUUUUCCAUUAGUCUCAAUAAAAUAAAAUAAAAUUAAAUUGAAAAGAAGACAUAGAUUUUUGUGGGAGAGGAAACUGGUUUUCCAUCAGCCUCAAUAAAAUAAAAUAAAAUGAAAAAUUAAAUUAAAUUAAAAAAAGAAGACAUGGAGUUUUGUAGAAGAGGUUUUCUACCAUUUAAAAUAAAAUAAAAUAUGUACAAUAAAUUAAACGUAUAGUGAAUAGAACAUUUAAAAUAAAAUAAAAUUAAUUAAUUAAAAAGAAAAACAUGUGUGGUUUCGUCUCAACAGUUUAGCUUAAUAAAAUAAAAUAUCAGACAUGAAUGUGGUUUCAUCUCAAGUCUGCUCAAUAAAAUAAAAUAAAAAUGUACAAUAAAACGUCAAGAUAAAAAAAAAUAAAAACAAAAAAUAAAAUAGGAAGACAUGGAGUUUUGUGGAAGAGGUUUUCAGUAAGAGGAACCUUGUUUUCCACCAGUCAAACUAAAAUAAAAUAAAAUAUUAAAUUAUAUUAAAUUUAAUUUAAUUUAAAAAAGAAGACAUGUAUGGUCCCGUCUCAACUCAGCUUAGCUCAAUAAAAUAAAAAUAAAUAAAAAUAAAUAAAAUGUACAAUAAAUAAAACAUGUAAAAUAAAAUAAAAAAAAUAAAAUAGGAAGACAUGCACUUUUGUGGAAGAGGAAACUGGUCUCUAAAAUAAAAUAAAAUUAAAUAUGUACAAUAAAUUAAACAUGUAUAAUGAAUAAAACAUUUAAAAUAAAAUAAAAUAAAAUAAAAUAAAAUAAUAAAUUCAAUUAUUAAAUUAAAGAGAAAAACAUGUAUCUGGUUUCGUCUCAACAGUUUAGCUCAAUAAAAUAAAAUAACAGACAUGAAUGUGGUUUCAUCUCAAGUCUGCUCAGUAAAAUAAAAUAAAAUAAAAAUGUACAAUAAAACGUCAAGAUAAAAUAAAUAAAAGAAAAUAAAUAAAAAGAAUAAUAAAAUAAAAUAAAAUAAAAUAAUAAAAUAGGAAGACAUGGAGUUUUGUGGAAGAGGUUUUCAGUAUAUAAUAUAUUUAAUAAAUAUAAUAUAUACAAUAUAUAUAUAAUAAUAUAUAAAAAUAAAUAUAUUUUAUUUAAUUUAAUUUUAAAAAGAAGACAUGUAUGUGGUCCCGUCUUAACUCAACUUAGCUCAAUAAAAUAAAAAAUAAAUAAAAUAAAAUGUACAAUAAAUAAAACAUGUAAAAUAAAAUAAAAUAAAACAGGAAGACAUGGAGUUUUGUGGAAGAGGAAACUGGUUUUCCAUCAAUCUCUGUAAAAUAAAAUAAAAACAAAAAAUAAAAUAGGAAGACAUGGACUUUUGUGAAAGAGGUUUUCAACCUGGUUUUCCACCAGUCAAACUAAACUAAAAUAAAAUAUUAAAUUAUAUUAAAUUUAAUUUAAUAAAAAAAAGACAUGUAUGUGGUCCCGUCUCAACUCAACUUCGCUCAAUAAAAUAUAAAUAAAUAAAUAAAAAUAAAUAAAAUGUACAAUAAAUAAAACGUAAAAUAAAUAAAAUAAAAUAAAACAGGAAAACACUGACUUUUGUAGAAGAGGAUACUGAUUUUCCAUGAAUCUCUUUGAAAUAAAAUAACUGAAAAAUAAAAUAAACAUACUUUCUGAAUAUCAUACAAACUGAUAUUCCAUCAGUCAAAAUUAAAUUAAAUUAAAUUAAAUUAAAUUAAAUUAAAUUAAGUAAAAAAAAAAAAAAAAAAAAAACUCCACAUGAGAAGAUUAGAAUCUUCCUUGUUUGCCCGAGUUGUUUUUCUCGAGUUCUACAAUGUCAUAACUCCCAGGUCAUUCACUCUUACAAUCAGUUCACAGAUUGACGUCUUCUUAUUCAAGGUCAAGGUCACGGCCACAACAACACAACCGCUGCAAACACCACGCAGAAGCCCCACAUCAUCUCUCAUUGUUAUUUUAUUCCCGAACAGUGCAAACACAAGUAUAAAAGAUCUCAAUAUGAAAUUUACAUUCACAUAGAACCAUCGCAAUAAAUACAUUGCAACCCCAAAAAUAGCACAAAUAUUACAAAUCAUCAAUAAAAUACUCUUUUCGUUUUACUCUACAAUAUAUUUAAUACGUACAAUAAUUUUGACCCGUAUCAAAUAUGAAAAUAUCUAAUCGACAUGAAAAUCUAUUCUAUGAUUUUUACUGUGCACACUUUAUGCAUUAUUAAAGUUAAUAUAUCAUGUUCAUAACAGCAGUUAAGUUAGGCCACUGUAGUCAAAAUAGAUCAUAUUAAGCCAUAUCAAAUAGAACCAUUUAGCUGUUUGGCUACAUUUGUUGGAUCAUAUAGAAUCUGAAAUAUUCAGUGAUACAAUAAGCAUUUUGGCAUUUGGCAUUCAUUAAAGAAAAAAACAAAAAUCCACACCUCGAAUGAACAGCUCCUUACUUUACGUUAAGAAAUACGCAAAAUUCCGUAUAUGGUAAAUAAAGCUAAAUGCGGCAAAAAUAGAAUCAGAGAGAGCAUUCCUGAAUACGUAGCUUAACAUGAAUCAAACGUCGAGAAACAAAAAGGAGUAGCCCAUUUGCGAGUCGGUGUUGAGCCCCACGUGCUUCGAUCGGUCCGAUGAGAGAAGAAAGUCGAAAGUCGAAACAAAACCGAAGUUGUGCUAUAAAAGAACACAGUCUGAUAUGUUGUUGGCACAUAUUCAAAGAAAUACACUUUCUCUAACAGACCCUGGAUAAAAAGGCAGUCACUUCAAGAGCUCGACAAGGCGCCAAUGCUACAAAACUCCCAGAAAGCUUUCCCCACAGCACCACGCAUGGACCAGGUAAGCGAAUACGCCGUCGGAUAAACCAAAAAAAAGAAAGAAAGAAAGAAAAAGAUGCUUCGUUUCAUCAAGGCCAUUAUUCUGGGCUCAUGCAGUGCUACGAAAGCAUGUUUCGCAACAUAUCUUCGACACUUUUCACCCUUGGUUUUGUUUUUGCAGUAGGCAUGCAUUAGAGACACAAAUCAGUUAUCAAAUAGAGCGACGUGACAGAAUUACGGCAUGCUGAGAGGGACAUGCAGAACGGCAUGCUUGAAGCCAAACUUCGUUCCCUAGGCAUCAUGGGAAAGCUAUCGAAAGUACAGUAAUAGCACAUAAAGAAAAUCAAAAAUGAGGCCCGUGAGGCUUUCCAAACCAAGCGUUCGCAUGCUCCGAUGUUUAACCUAAGAUCUAGAGAGCACAUGACACAUCCAGCACUAAAAUAUCAUGCAACCGCGUGGAUAAAGAUCGUCCCGCAAGCACAGUGAGAGAUGCUACCGUUGAUAGGAGGAUCUGAAAGCGAAGUGCCACUUAGAAAAAACCACCGACAAAAUAUAUGUGGACUAAAGCCAUCCGAUCGCAUACCGAAAGCCAAUUUGGUUGCUUUUGGUGAGUCGUGUUGUCAGUGACAGCCUCGAUUGUGCUGGCUUCUCGAUUGUGUCGACGUUUAUUGAACGCGACGGGAUCGCUCGUCGUGUUAUUACUGGAAAGGAAAUCCCAGAGGGCAAAGGGCAGCAGCAGCAAGUGCAUACAGAUGUUUUGUCCAAGCACCAAGUGCGUACACACAUCACAUACAGGAAAACUGUGCUGAUUCAACCCACGCAAAGUUAAACAUUUACCCACGUCACAGACUCGACCGACUUUCUGUAAAUGAUUACAAAACAGCACAGCGUCGCGUUCUCUAGUAAAUCAUUGCAGUCUCUGAUUCACUGCGGUUGUUUAGUAUUUCUGCCUCCCUCUCUCUCGCUCUCUCGCUCUCUGCAACCGCAGACGAGCGCCUGAAAAGCAAAGAGCUGGGAAUCUGCUAUCAGGUCUGUAAACCUGUGACGUCUUCUUCAUGUAAACAAUUUAUCCGAAGCAAAUCUCAAUAUGAGGAACCAUCUUUUCCUUUGUCCCUGUGGGAAAAACCCGACACGUGUUCCGCCGUCUGCCCUGACUCAGUCUCGUACAAAAUACAGCGCUGUUUUAAACGAAACGUUUGGUCUUCACCUCUCACAUGUUUGAAAUAUUCAUCGCCGUGGCAUCUCUUGCCAUUUUCAGAUGCAAGAUAACACACACGCACACACACGCUCACACACGGUGGGUACGUGUCUCCUCGGCUGGUGUGAAGCUGCCUUUUGCAGUAGAUCGCAUGCUCCCGUUUAGGAGACCCUGAUAUCCUGUUGCUCGGGGAAGACUCGUUAAAACGCAUACGUGCACACGGAAAGACAUACAUGCUUAUUAUGUACUUGCGUGAAGGGGGAGGGCCUUUCUCGGUUUGGCACGUCUCAGUGCAAAGACUGUCUUCCUACCUUGUGCUCGGUUUCCGUCCCUGCCUCUGAUUUACUAAUGCAUCUGUUGAUCGCCGUAGAGCCCGUCUUUUCUUGGCGAUCACACCUCCAUUUCCAUGUCGACGGAUACGGAGGGCAGGUACAGAAUGCUGUUGUUUGGGGUGCUAACGUGCCCUACGGUGUGACUUUUCACCCCGUAGCUGCUGAUGGCGGGCGCCGAUCCCAGUUUGGUCCGGAUGCAGGGGCUCGACCCGCGCUUGGAGCUCUCGGGUCGCGUGUGCUGAGCGCCUUGCGCGGUUCGGCCUUCCAGAAAGUAGGUGAGCAUUUGACCUUUGCCCUUCACACUGACCUGGCCGCGACACUGGAAGUGGUAGUGAGCGGAGAGUAGGCGGAAGACGUCCUCGGUCACCUGGAGUGAAGAUGCAAUAAAGUCAGAUUUGUUUGGAGUGAUGUCAGCUUUGUUUUUAAUGACGGUGGGUUUGUUUUACCUGUAUUUUUCCCUGAACUCCAGUGCUGUCCAUUCUGCUGGCGACGUUGACUGUGUUUCCCCAAAUGUCGUACUGAGGCCUGCGAGCCCCGAUUACGCCGGCAACCACUGGACCCACGUUGAUACCUGAUCAGUGAUCAACAAAAAUGAUGAAGUAAUCAGAUUUAAUGUUUAAUUUUUCUAUGUAAACAGACAAACUGAUUUUAAUGUUUUUUUUGUUUUGUUUUUUUUAAUGUCUCUUAUGCUCACUAAAGCUGUUUAUUUGAUCAGAAAUUUAGUAAUAUUUUAACAUUGCUAAACUCAGUACACAUACAGUUGAGAUCAAUCUAUAAAUACUUGAUUUUUACUUAAAUACUGUUCAUCGCUCAAAAUUUGAGGAAUAUUAGCUGUAGGUAUGCAACUGUUCUACUAACAUGUUUGACAAUAACCAAGUCAUUUAGACACAAACCUUUAUUUUGUGAAAAACACAGUGAUCAAAAUUAGAAAACAGUAACCGCCGUGGCACGCUGUUGUAAUUUUAGACUACAACUAAAAUUUUGGAGGGUUACAGCUGUCAGUAUGAAAUGUAGACGUCCUUGCUUUGAAUAAAUUCAGCACAUCUGCGGCAAAACAUCACUAGUUUCUCAGACUGCAAUGGUGUGAUUUCUUCCACUCUUUUUCAUAGUUUGGUAACUGCAGUGGUUUCUUAGUCAUAACUUUGUCGCCAAUAAUUUUCCAGAGAUUUUCAUUUUGGUUUAGAUCAGGGAUGGGCAACUUUGACAGUGACAAAGUCACAAAGUCACUUUAUACCAAGGGGCCAGAUUACUAAUCCACAUCCACACACUUUUUAUACCAUUUUACUCAAUUUCCUUUUUACUGAAGGAAAUUAAAGUAUAAUUCCUGUAAUUUGUUUUUAAAGAUUCUUUAACUAUAAAUCUUGUGCAGUUAUGCAAGUUCAGAAUAUUACCCCAGCAAGCCAAUAUAAACAUCUCAAUUGCAUUGUCUGUAAAUUCCCAACAAAUGUUCUGUUUUUUAUUAGUGGCCUACAGACCUUUCUCAAAACAACCUAAGAGGACAGUUAAAAAGGGCUUAUUAAAAUAAAUAAAUAAAUGAAUGAAUACUUAUAAAUGGUACCAUAAUAUACUGCAGGAUUUUUUCUUAUUUAAGACAUUUAAAGACCUUUUUAAGUCCUGCACUUUACAUUUCAGUCUAUAAUUUUUUUUUAAGAAAACAGAUGAAUCAAAACUAUCAGUAUAUUAAUUUAAACAAUUAUUAUCAAUAAAUUAUUAUAUUAAAUAACAUAUAAAUUUAUCUUAGUGUCUUAAUUGUUUAGAUUUUUAUAAUGCAUAGCUUCUUGUCGAUUUACCAGUUCACAUUUAAAAAUAUGUGGCAAAAAUAGCAGACUUUAGCAGGACUUAUUGAAAAUGCAAAUUCGUUCUCUGCCAGCAGGUUUUGCUUUUGGAACGGUAGAUAUAUAGCGGUUUCCAAACAAUCUAAACAUAUGGGCAUCUCUGUCAACUUGGUAAAAAGAUAAUCUGUUUACCAUCUUGACUGGAAAAUACUCAGUCAGUUUUUCCAUUUAUUAUUUGCUAAUGUUAGUGAAUAUUAAUUAAUACAUAAUUAAUACGUUGAGCGGCAAAAUACUAGCAACCUCUCCUGGUUGGAGAUAGUAUUAACAUCAUAAACUGAAAGCAAUCUUUAUGCGACUUACUUUUCAAAUGUUUUAAAGGGAUCAUCGGAUGCAAAGUUCUCUUGUACAUGUUGUUUGAACAUUAAUGUGUGUUGGCAGUGUAUGUACAAAUGUACCCUAUAAUGAUAAAAAUCCAUGCAGCGGUUUUUAAUUAAUCUGUAAAAAUAAUAUCCCCUUUUUCAAAUCGAGCCAUUCUCAGACAGAGGCCGCUCCCACUAUAGUUGAUUGACAUGAGUGUCUUACCUUAGACCCACCUUAAAUCAGCUGUAAAGCUGCCUUUCCACUAGAUCUCUGACGAACGAGAAGCGACAGACCGGAAGUCAUUACUUUCCAAUGGAGAGUAGUGCGGGAGUUGCGUGUAGUUCUGAUCAUAUUCGUAUGCGUAAAUUUCGGAUCCGAUUUGAGCUGCAGAUGCAUUCAAAUAUUUUAACUUCUGACGUAUGUGACCCCCUGACUGGAUGUGAUGUAUUCUAUUCAUAGUAAAAACUAUGAGCGUAAGGUUAGAAUUACCAAUAUUUUGUACACUUUAACAUUACUCUUUACUCUUUAUUACUCUAAAAUGGUACUUUAGAAUAAUUAUGGCAGAAAUAAUUAUUGUAUAAUUAUUAAAUUAUUAUUUACGUUGAUUAGCCCCAUAAAACCUACUAUGUUUUUAUUUGGGGGUCAUUUGUUUUGUGACAAAACAUUCAUACAUUGAUUAUAUUUAUUCAAAUCAUUAAUUUUACCAAGGUGAAUAUGCCAAGGUAACGGUUGCUGCACGACCAGUUUAAAAGUUCUGUGCGACCGCCAUUAGGGGGAGAAAUGCGAUGGUCGUGUCUAAAUGUCGUGUGCAGUGGAAAGGCGGCUUAACAGUCCGACCUCCAUUGUUUUGAUGCCGGAGCAGGAAUGUAAGUUAGACAAGAAUAUCUCAGAUUGAGUGAUUGAGGUGUUGUGUUGCUGGACAUCUCAGCCGCUGAAGAAGCAGUGGACUACGUUUGUUUGUGAAGGGAAUGCACCUCCCGAUCUACAUAAAUCUAAAUUCGUGAUCCAGCUUGAGAGUAUAAGGGUUUUUUUUUUUUUAUGAAUCUCUGCAAUCACCUUUCCUAAUAACGUGCUAGUUAGCAAGUUUCACGGCUAAACGCACUAAACGCACUAAACGCGGCUAAAGUAAACAGGCUCGUCACUCCACAGAGAGCAGAGAGGGGUGGAGUGAGCAGAGCUCAUUUGCAUUUAAAGGAACAAUCCCUCAAAAAAGGUUGAUUUUUGCAGAGCUCAUUUUGACAAGGUAAAAAGGGUGUUGUUUUACACUUACACUAUGAGUAAAAAAAAAAAAAAACUACUGGAGUAUAUGCCAUUUUCUGUAGUCUGGUGCCUUUUAAUUAACGGAAUAGGCCGCCUUGCUAGCAGGGGUUAUAUAUAUUACCUCUGUCCACUAACGUCACAACAUUACAAAAGACGGCUGUUUCAACACAUUUCCAGUGGCGUAAGUGGUAAAGCGAGUAACUAGUGUUUUUUGAUGUGAACGACCCGAGUAUGCAUCCGCCUAUUGCCGAAAUCGUUCUUCUGCCUUUUCACAUCUCAUUUUACUUCAGAAAAGCAUUUGUUUUCAAUAAAAAUAAAAGUGAAGUAAAUAAUCUGAAAGUUUAAAGAAAUAAAGUUUGCUUUGUUUACUCUGCUGUGUUUCGGUAGUGCAGCAGGCGUGAGUAACUAGUGAAAACACAGAAUGGAGUUUAAUUAACAUGCAGUGGUGUAGUGCAGGGUAUACCCAAAUAUACGACAUAUACACGCUCCUUUAUCAUUCAGCUUUGCGUGUACCCACUUCUAAAUCCCCUCUGAUGCGCAUCAUUCAGUAGUAUCCUGUAUUAACCAAAAUCACGACAGUCCAUCAGUAGCUAUGAUUGCGCCUGAAGCGCCUGAUGCAUUCACCCUGCCAUAUAUCUGUAUAAGAGGCCCAACUUAUCCCUCAAAUCAUGACACUUCCUCCUCCACCUUUCACUGACUUUACGCACUCAGGGUUCAGUCUUUCAUCAGUUUAACACUGAACAAAAUGUUUCCCAUCUGACCUUGCUUUCAUCACUAAAGUAAACUUUGGACCAGUUGUCCUUUCUCCACACAACAUGCUUCUCAGCAAAGGUGAGCUUAGCCUUUUGAUUUUGUCUGCAUUUUCAGUCCAACUUCUCUUUGACAUGACGAAACAGAUCCUUACCCUGUUCAGCACUGAACUGGCAUGCAAUUCCAGCUGCAGUGCUGAACCGAUUCCCUAUUGAGAGACUCUGUAUUAUCCUGUCUUCGUUGCAUUUGUCCUACAUGGACGACCAGCCUUUUUGGGGGACUUGAAUGAAUUAGUGUCAUUGCAAAGGUGCAAUAUUUGAGAAAUCAUAGAUUUGGAAUGCCCAACUUGCAAUAACUGAAAUGGUCAUCCUUUUGUGGACAUAUGGUUAACCUCCUGUCACAGAGUUUCAGUCACGUUAGAACAGCCGCCAUCUUUCAAUCUCAGUGAAAAUUGGUGGAAUGCUGCCAGUUAAAUAGGGUUUGUUAAAUGAUUAAGGAAAGUAGUACCAGGUGCCAGAUAACACCAAUAACUUGGAGGUAUCUGUAAGUGUUCUAUAAUUUUGAUCAGUUCUUUUACAAAUAUCUCAUUUAAGGAUUUUACACUGUGCUUCCGAAUACAAUUUAUGAAAUAUGCCUAAAAAAUGGGUAGGUGGCCUUAAAAGAGGCCAGUAGUGUUAUUAAAAAAAAAAAAAAAAAAAAAAAAAAAAAA